UGCACAGAGCCUCUGCGAGCAGGGCUGGUCCCUGCAGGGCCAGGAGGGAGCCCAUAAAUACACCUGCUGGGGGAAAGCAGAGGCUGCCAGAGAGGAUUUGCUGAGGGUCACGCAGGGCUUGGUGUCUCUGUGCAAGGCUGGAUGAAGGCAGUUGCUGGCUGCUGGAUUCAGAGACCCUGCCUCCAAGGAUGAAUGACUCCCCCUGUCCCUCACUGUCAAGUUUAACAUCGUUUUCCUACAUGGAAGUCACUGUGCCCAGAGCUGUACAAAGGAAUUUCAGCUUUGCCCAGAGGUUUCCUUGCUGCUCACAACAGGGAACAGGCCCGUGCAGACAAGGUUAUGUUACAGCUGGGGAUGGAGCUGGUACUGCCUGCUGCUGGCCUGCUCCUGACACCUUCUACCUCUGGACUCACAAAAUAAUUGCCUCAAGGCCUGGGAUUAGAUUGGGGGUAUGUCAAGUGAUUUCUCACCCCUUAUUCUGGUUCCUAUCCUAAACCCUCCCCCCAGGAGCUCUGCUUUGUUCGGAGAUGAGGCAGCCGCCCUGCGGAAGAUGUGUUUUCCUGGGCAGCUUGCAGCACUUUAAUUAAAAGGACACGCAGGGCAAUGGCAGUGCAGAGAAGCAGGGGCUCUCUGGGGUGUGGAAGCAGAUCACUCUAAUGCCUCGAGUCACAGGAACUGGAGCUUAUUGCUGAUUCGAGCUGAGCAGCAAAACAAAUCAGCGGAGCACAAAUAGGAGCAGCGCAGGGGAUGGCUGCUGGGCCUCUUCCCUGUGCCCAGCAGAUCCAGAGAGUAGGCACGGGCUCAAAAUGACACGGCUUGCAGUGGUUAUUUUUGUUCCUGUCUUGCACGGUGCUUUGACAAGUUGCAUCUUACCGAACCAGCUGUCUUCUCUUAAAGACGGGGCUAUGCAGAGCCUUUGCUCUUACGGCUGCGUGCUGCCUGUUAGCAGCGGAGGGGCAGCAGAUACUACAACCGUGCCUUGUGCUGCUGCUGUUCCUACCGCACAGCUCUGACAGGUUGAGUUCAUGUUUAGAUCAGCUUUUUCUCUGUCUUGUGUUAACUUGCAGUGAUGGAAGCAGAAGAGGAAUAAAUUAUUUUACUCCAAGGUCCCUGCUAAGCUCUCCCAAGGUUAUUCUCAUUAAGUGACCUGAAUAACAAAUUCUUUUCCAUUAACCUCAUCACCUGACACAAGCUGUUAAGCUGAGUCCUUCACAACCUCAUUGCCAGCACUUGCACAGGAGCAUGUGCCUUGUCUGCAUUUUAUCUUGGUAAUGGUUGCUUAAGAUAUUGAUGCCACCACUCACAGCGAGUGAUUGAAUGCUUGGUACCAUCUUUCUUGAAUUAAGCCUCGUGAAUGGACGCCGCUCACCGCUGUACCACUGCUUCUCUGAAUGAUGCUGCAGUGACUGAAAAAUUACCUUUAUUUAAGGUGGAGGGUGUGUGUGAAACCAGCUUAGCUCCUUGGAGAAGGAAAGUGGAGGAUUAGCUGGCAUAAAAGCACCCUUUGGUAUAGCUGAGCUCUCCUCUGAGCAGGAAAACAGAAGUUUUCUAGCAAACAGCACGCUACUGGAAACAGUCUGUGGAUAGGAAGAACAAGAAUCUCUGCUCAUGUUAGUAACUAGUGUGGUGUAAAAGGAGCAGAAAUAUAAAGUGAAGGGGGGGAAAAAUAGCACUGAAGACCUGAUGGCUGAGUUAUAGGUCUUCUGGGGGCUUGGGUUUGGAGGUGACCCACUCUGAGUGUCCCCUGAGCACGUAGUCUGGGCUGGUGGUAGACAGCAAUCCAACUCGAGUCUCCAAGACUGCUGGGUGAUGUGAACCAAAGCAUGGUAAAUGGGGAGAAUGAGGAGGAGAAGAGAAGUGAAUACCCAGGUUUGAACACUGAAAGGCUUCCAAGCAAGCUACAACGUUUAUAUGGCAUCUGCCAUCCAUCUCUGCAAAUAAAGACAAGUAGGUGAAAAGGCUGCUCUGCAGGAGAGAAAUUGCUGGUCAGGUUCAAAAUCUUAUCUUUGAAGGAGCCUGGCUCUGUCUGCUAUUUGGGGAUGGUUUUCUGUUCGGCUUAAUACUUUGUGCCCCUCUGUAUUGACAGUCCUCCUGAUAAUGGUCUGGUAAUGCUACCAGACAGUCACCUGUCAUGUUCAGGGCUCCUCGGUGUUCCUCGUGCUCACAGCUGCCACCUCCCCAGAGAAAGCCUUGGUGCUCCAGGCCUGAAGUGAACAGAGUGUAUUCAGAAAGCGAAGCCCAAGCAUGAAACCCCUUCCUCCCAGCUUGUUUUGUUCCUCUAACAGUAAGCUGCUCAGGCCAGAGGCUGUUUAAAUACACAUCUUGUUCUGAGAUGCACUGGAAAUGUUCAUUAGGAACGCCACCAGCUUUGCUUGAAAAUAGCUAAUAACACUUUCACUUGUUCCAGAUGGAAUUGCCACAUUUUCAGGCCAUCUCCAUUCCCUAAACUAGCACUUCACCUGGACCAGCAUAAUGAACUGCACGUAUAACCAUGACAAACUGUAAAUAUACUGCCAUUAUUUUCACCUAGUAUAACCUCUUGAUUGAGCUAUAUAUUGAAGAUUUUCUAAUUGCCAAAGCAAUGUUCUAUUAAAAACUGACUCAGGCAAUUUCAUGGAAGACUUUAAAUGCAAUGCUAGCAGAAAUGGAAGCUUGGUUAAUUUACUGAGCAAGGAUUUCCUAUUUCUAGGUUGUCUUCCUAUGUUCAGCUCUAUGGGGGAAGUGCGUGUGCCAUCCAGAAGUGUUGUAACAGGCACAGCCAAUUUUUGUCAUACAAAAAAUAUUUUGCACCCUGUCAAUUCAACGUGAAGCUCUGUGGUCAGCAGGAGCUUUAGCAGAGACUGAUUUUGUUCAGGAUCACAGUCGUGUGGUGCUUGGAGAUGCAGCUCCACGAAGAGAGGAGGAGAGACAGAGGCAGGGUAGCCAGACUGUGGGUCAGCUGUGAUACCAGCAAAAGGGUCUUGAAAAAAAUGCAUGGUGUGGCUGGCGUGCCCAUCUGAAUCCUGCUCCUUGCCUGAACCCAUCAACAACUGAUUUCACUGGUAGGACCCCACGGGCACUUCUUUCAUUGUAUGCGACUCCAGGGAAAAUCUUAUGUGCUCCUACAAAUGUAAGCUUUCAUUUUAGGUGAUGCAGCGGUGCUGAUUUCAAUAACCGAAUGUCUUAAUCAGGCAUGCCUUGGGAGACAUCUCAUAUUUCUAAGAGUGAUGGCAGCGUCUAUAUUAAAAAGGAGGUUAUUUUUUAACUAAAGAGCAAUUCAUUGAAUGAAAUGUCAUUUAGUUAGUGAAAAAUAGCAAACAUCACCAACUGAUAACAAAGUAAUGUGCUUUAAGGGCUUUUGUAUUGGUUGUGAACAAGUUCUUAGCGCCGGCACAAAGCGUGCUGGGUUGUAGACACAAUUUUGGACAAGCUCUGUUGUUACUGGAGUCUUCUGGUAAUUCCAAAAAAAGUACAUCCACUUGAAGAAAAGGCUCCUCCUGGAGCAGGUUACAAAGCCUGCUCAGUGACUGGCAUGUCUGGGAAGCCAAGUCAAGGCUCUGCCCCUCAGAGUGACAGAGCAGAAUUGAGAAUUUAUGUAGGUACCAUUUGGGCACCUUGUAGCAAGCCACACACUGAUCCAAGGUUACUCGAUGAUGCAUAUUAACAUUGAAAUAUGUAUCAUUGAUAAAAAAUCACUAGAUAUAAUGGAUUAUUAUUGAAAUAAUGCAAAAAAUAAAUUAAUUUGAUUCUUAUGUAACUGAACUUUCUGCAACCAGUAAACAAAGUACAUUAAUCCAGACAUAUUUGCUCUAGAUACUUCAAGUUUUAAUUUGGCUUCUCAUCCACAUGCUAGAAAAUGGAGGUAGAAGCAAGGGGUUGGUUAUCAGAGCUAAACCCCCGUGUUUGGCUGUGGCAGAGCCGCACCCGAGCUCACUGUGUUCAGCCACGCAUUUGGAAAAUGCGGCGCAGAGAUUGUCAAAAGAUGGCCCCGCUUGGGGCUGAUGCUGCGUAAUUUCUCUUUUCAUUUGUGGAUUAAAAAAAGAGGAAGGCAGAGAGAAGCCUUCAGAAGGAAAGGAUUUUGCAAAUAUGCAUUUAAAUGGCCUAUGGCAACUCAUCCCAGGCAGAGCACUCUCUCCUCUGAGCCACUCUCCCCUCCUGAUGGGGUGGAGGAAAUGAGAUAAGGCGGCUGAUGACUAAAUGAAGAGCGCACGGUGUGGGCUUGAUUCUCCAGACCACAGGGAUGCUGCUGAAGAGCUGGACAGUUUGUGCUUGAACCUCUUGUAUUUAAGUGCAGUCUUGAGGUCUGCUUGGCCCCGAAUUCCUGUGUCUUGCUCCAGCUAAGAACCAAAUCCAGUCUUGGCUCGUGUCUAAAGGACUUGAUCUUGCUUAGAGGAGGCCAACCAGUGUUGUGCCAUGAGCAAUUGCACCCUCUUCUGGCUGUCACCUCCUCAUCAGUGUAGGAAUGGCUGAGAAGUUAAUUGUAAUCCCAAUUUACAUAUUAUGUCACAUUAUCUCUGAGACGACCAACUAUCAAACCAAUCUUGGCUUUCUACUAUGAUGCUCAGGUAGCCUGGGGCUAGCUGAAUGGAGACACCUGUCCAGUUACAACCAACAGGGACAGAAGUUCUGGAGUAUCACAAAUCCAGACCUUAAUGAAGCUGCUGGAGAAAAUGUGGCAUAACAGAAAUCAGAACCUGGCUCACAGACUGCUAUGGCUCUAUUAAAGCCUUCUCAAAAUGCAGAAGUUCCCAGUUCCUUGCCAGAUCUGUUUCCUGAGAUCCUCUGAUACGAACUCAGGUAUAAGCCCAAUAUUGCUGACGUGGGUAAAUUGAGUUCUCGCCCGAAGUUCAGACAGGCAGACUAGACAGUAUGCCCGAAGCUGUUUUUUUCCCCAUUUGAAAACAUAAAACUGUUUAUUUAUUUUUCACU